CCUACGGGAGGCAGCAGUGAGGAAUAUUGGUCAAUGGGCGCGAGCCUGAACCAGCCAAGUAGCGUGAAGGAUGACUGCCCUAUGGGUUGUAAACUUCUUUUAUAUGGGAAUAAAACAGGGUAUGCAUACCCUCUUGUAUGUACCAUAUGACUAAGGAUCGGCUAACUCCGUGCCAGCAGCCGCGGUAAUACGGAGGAUCCGAGCGUUAUCCGGAUUUAUUGGGUUUAAAGGGAGCGUAGGUGGAUUGUUAAGUCAGUUGUGAAAGUUUGCGGCUCAACCGUAAAAUUGCAGUUGAAACUGGCAGUCUUGAGUACAGUAGAGGUGGGCGGAAUUCGUGGUGUAGCGGUGAAAUGCUUAGAUAUCACGAAGAACUCCGAUUGCGAAGGCAGCUCACUGGACUGCAACUGACACUGAUGCUCGAAAGUGUGGGUAUCAAACAGGAUUAGAUACCCCAGUAGUC
rnacentral:rRNA from 1 species